GGAUUGCCCUAGUAACGGCGAGUGAAGCGGCAACAGCUCAAAUUUGAAAUCUGGCGUCUUUGGCGUCCGAGUUGUAAUUUGCAGAGGGCGCUUUGGCAUCGGCAGCGGUCCAAGUUCCUUGGAACAGGACGUCACAGAGGGUGAGAAUCCCGUACGUGAUCGCUAGCCUUUACCGUGUAAAGCCCCUUCGACGAGUCGAGUUGUUUGGGAAUGCAGCUCUAAAUGGGAGGUAAAUUUCUUCUAAAGCUAAAUACUGGCCAGAGACCGAUAGCGCACAAGUAGAGUGAUCGAAAGAUGAAAAGCACUUUGGAAAGAGAGUUAAAAAGCACGUGAAAUUGUUGAAAGGGAAGCGCUUGCAGCCAGACUUGCCUGUAGUUGCUCAUCCGGGUUUCUACCCGGUGCACUCUUCUAUAGGCAGGCCAGCAUCAGUUUGGGCGGUUGGAUAAAGGUCUCUGUCAUGUACCUCUCUUCGGGGAGAACUUAUAGGGGAGACGACAUGCAACCAGCCUGGACUGAGGUCCGCGCAUCUGCUAGGAUGCUGGCGUAAUGGCUGUAAGCGGCCCGUCUUGAAACACGGACCAAGGAGUCUAACAUCUAUGCGAGUGUUUGGGUGUCAAGCCCGAACGCGUAAUGAAAGUGAACGGAGGUGGGAACCUUUCGGGGUGCACCAUCGACCGAUCCUGAUGUCUUCGGAUGGAUUUGAGUAAGAGCAUAGCUGUUGGGACCCGAAAGAUGGUGAACUAUGCUUGAAUAGGGUGAAGCCAGAGGAAACUCUGGUGGAGGCUCGCAGCGGUUCUGACGUGCAAAUCGAUCGUCAAAUUUGGGCAUAGGGGCGAAAGACUAAUCGAACUAUCUAGUAGCUGGUUCCUGCCGAAGUUUCCCUCAGGAUAGCAGUAACGUUUUCAGUUUUAUGAGGUAAAGCGAAUGAUUAGAGGCCUGGGGGUUGAAACAACCUUCACCUAUUCUCAAACUUUAAAUAUGUAAGAAGUCCUUGUUACUUGAUUGAACGUGGACAG
rnacentral:rRNA from 1 species